rnacentral:rRNA from 1 species
AUGGACAACGACGCCGGCAUGAUCCCCUCCUCGCCCUCCGCCGAGACGUCGUCCUCUUCCUCCGACAUCGACACCGAGUCCACAUGCUCCUUCUUCCGGGACCGGAGCACGACGCUGGGGACGCUCAUGGGCGUGUCCCUGGCCGACGGGGAGGACCGGCCUCCAGAGACGCAGCAGGCGGCGGACGAGCAGGAGAGGCCCCGCGCGCCGGCGCCGGGGGAGGAGGGCUGGACGUGGCGCCGGAGGUGGAGGCCGCGUCGCGGCGCCAGCUGGUGGCGGCUGUGCAGGGACGACGUCGGCGGCACGACGUCGCUGGCCCACUUCCUGCACAUGGAGAGGCAGCUCUCCGGCGACGGCGGGGAGGUGACGGUGCCACUGUUCGAGAACGGGAGGGUGUUGCCGUCGUCGUCCGCGACCGCGGUCGUGGAGGAUCAGAAGGCCAAGUGGAAGCUGCGGAGGUCCGCCCAGGGGUCGUUGUCGCUGGCGAGGCUACCGGUGCUGCUCACCGGCAUCUGCAGCGGCGGAGCUUGA